AAUGAACCUGUGGAAAUUACCCUUUAUUCCCUCUAUGGGCUGUCUGUAUCCUCUCCCCUGUUAUUUCGGAUGUUUUUACUCAGAUUUCGUGUGUGGGAGGGAUCACCUUGUCCCUGGACAAAUCACCGAAUGCCAGACCACCCACAUGUGGAGUGCUUGUUAACCCCAGUAACCUUCAUUCACACCUCCACAAGCCGCAAUAACAUUCUAACGGCUAGCUGGCCAUCGUUCGUAUGUGCGAACACCUGGCUGCGGCCAUCUUUAACCACAAACAGAGACAGCGGUGUUUGGUCAUCGAGUGUAUGGAACUAAAAUCAGACACUCGGCUGCGCGAACACUGCUGGGACUUCCACCUCUGGUUAUGUUUGUCAUAAUUCAUAUGAACUGAGUGGCGUUCAAGGGGAACAAACUCCCAGACAAGAUACAUGGGAUGAGCUUAUGCACGAACAGUUUAUUUGUUAGUUUUCAUAUGUUUUGUACUCCAGAAAGAGACUGACUGCACAGCCUGAUUUCAUGGAACCUUCAUGGAACCUUUUUGGGCAGGCUCCUCGUGUGCGGUUGGUCUAAAAUAUACCCCGGUGGCGUUUAUGCUGCGUUCGUGGGAUCUGAGCGCUUUUCGGAUAUGUUGGGUGCUCAGAUCCAGUCUAUCCGGGGAUAUAGGACUUGAGGGGGUACCUUGAUAUUGACUGUAUGUUUUGGGGUGUUAUUACUGUAUAUGUCCUGGACCUGAGAGUUAAUAUAAUUAUGUUGUGUAUUUUAAUGCCCCUGGAAUGUGUAUCAGGAAACCCCUUGCAUGGGGAUUCACAUAAAAGGCCAUGUGUGGCUCCAUUAAAACCAGUUAUACCCCCAGAGCAGAGUGUCGUCCAGUUGCUGGGGAGGAGAUGGAAUAUUCCUGGAUUAUUUUACUGUGUUUGGCUAUCCCGUUGGAGUACUUGGACUAGAGGUCUGGUACAUAUAAAUAUAUAUAUAUAUAUAUAUAUAUAUAUAUAUAUACACACACACAUAUAAUUUAAUACAUAACAGGUAAUAAAUAUAAUAUAAAUAAGAUAGAUUAGUUAAUGUUACAGCUGUGAAACCUUCUAAAACCACAGGUUCUGUUUCCAGUCAACCCUUUCAUUCUUCGAAAGUCAUUAAAAUACAGGUGGGUAAACAAAAUGGGCAUUGUGUGCUGAAUGAAAGAAAUUAACAUAUCAAUGAAACCUUUUGUGUUAGUCUUUGGAGGUACUAAACACAUAAAUAUAUUACUACUAAGGCACUUUGGUCAUGGACCUAGGGCCUGUUCCAGUCAGGGAUCCAGUUGCAGAAGAAGUUAUGGAUCAGUUGUGGAGAUCAGCAUUUCUCCAAUACUGGCCUUUCAUAUAUAUUUUUUUGUAAUUUUCCAUCCCUAGGAAUUAAGUACUUCACAUGAGUGAUCCCACAGCUUCAAUUGAAAUCUUCAUUAGAUAGGGCUGAUACACUCCAUAUGCAGAGAGGGUCAGGGAUAGGAUCUUGCUUCAUAUACUUGCCCCUCAACACGCAGAGCCCUAGCCGCACAGGAAGCAAGCUGAUAUGAAGAAAAAUAAGUAAAACUACCACAUCAAGAGGACAUUGUCUUAAAGUAGAGGGGCAAAGGUUUUAAAAUAAUAUCAGGAAGUAUUACUUUACUGAGAGGUUAGUGGAUGCAUGGAAUAGCCUUCCAGCUGAAGUGGUAGAGGUUAACACAGUAAAGGAGUUUAAGCAUGCGUGGGAUAGACAUAAGGCUAUCCUAGCUAAAAGAUAAGGUCAGGGACUAAUGAAAGUAUUUAAAAAAAUUGGGCAGACUAGAUGAGCCGGGUGAUUCUAACCUGCUGUCACAUUCCAUGUUUCUAUGUUUCUAUGAAGGGGAGACAACCAAAAGCUUAAAGUAAGAAUGAAAGGGAGAGGGUUAAGCUAAGAGUUGAAAGUGGGGAGAUUGCAUAGAACAAGAGAUAGCAGGUCGGAGUGGAAUAUAUGAGGAGACAAAAAGGACGAUGAGGAGAGACAGAAAAUGUACGGAGGACAGAAAAAAGUGGGGGCUCUUGGAUGCAGAUGUAAGAAGAGUUGGUUUGUAAGAUACUGGGGACUGAGAAGAUACUUUGAAAUUUAGAAAUAUUUUAGUAAAACACAUCCCGCUCAAAUACAACAAUGCAUACACAAGGACAUACAGUAAAAUACACUCCAGUAUACACACCAAUGUACACACUAGCAUAUUUUACAAAUACUUUUAUGCAUUCACACACACUUCACACAAAUAUUUACUGAAACUCUGCAUUUACACGCAAUACGAUUACACACAUAUAUGCAUUUGAAUUCAAGAUAUCUACAAAUAACUUCCCGCAUUAGCAAUACAUUAACACAAAAAUAUCUGCAUCCACACACUGAAUACAAAAGCACUGCUAUAUUCCAACCCUGCACACAAAUACACUUGCAUUCAUGCAUUAAUGCUCCACGCAAAUGAACAUCUGGACUAAGAUGUAGAACUCUACAUUCACACACAUGCACACUGCUUAAACACAUACUGUUACUACUCACUAAACACAACCCUGCAUUCAUAAUCUUUGACUGUACAUUUUGAGAUGCAUGUUGAAGAUAUCCACAAAUACAUAGCAUUUUUAUACUUCCCAAUACACAAAACAUCCAUGCAUUUGCACAUUCAAAUGAAUUCACACACAUUGGCACUACACAUUCACAUAUACAUUCACACUGACACUAUAUGAAAAUAAACACAUGCCUCCACAAAUAUGUUACCCACUCAAAUGCCUAUUAAGACAUAUAUCACCACAAUAUGUACACAUAUACAAAAACACUUAUAGGUUUAUUUACUGAACAGGCAAUUGUGGAAGUCUGACAUGGGGAUCACACAGUGUAGACUAAAUUAUCCAAAUUGGAAAAAUUUGCAACUCAUGUAUUUUCCCAGCUUGGCUAUUUUGGAUUAAAUGUUUCUGUUCCUUGUCAAUCCUCCAAUAUUUAUUGCUAACCAACUAAUCGCUAAAAAGUUAACUGAAAACAGAACAGCAAAAUUCAGACUAAACUAGCCAAAUAGUAACCAUAGUGGUCAAUUUUUCAAAAUUGGUAAUUUAGCUUUCAAUUUACUGUAGUACGCUCUUUAGUGAAUAAACCAUGUGUAUUUGUGUAUGUAUUGGACCUCAAGGUUUGCCCAUGGGCCUAGAUUGCUGUCAGUAUGUCCCAGUGUGUGCCUGAGCAUUUUAUACAUAUUAUUGUUAUAUGAGAGUACAAUACUUAUUGUUACAUCAGAAUAUAAAGAUUGCUGGUGGUAAAAUAAUGAUUUCCUAAAUGAAUAUAUAUUGAGUUGUGCGACAAUGUGACAGCUUGUACCAAGGCUAGAACAUGUGGAAUAAUUUCCACAAAAUCAAAAAUGUACGAUCAAAAAAAUAAAAAAAAAUAAAAGAGAUAUCUGCGUCCUGGGCUAGUCAGCCAAACCAACUACAGUAAAAUAAAAAAAUUAAAAAAGGAUACAUAAAAUCAUUAACAAGACGUAAAUUACUUUGGUAACAUCUUAAAAAAAAGAAAAUAACAAUUUCCACGCUAUUAUGUUAACACAUAUGUAGACAUUUGUGACCUGUAGUACUUGCAUUUUUAUUUUUACUACUUUAGCAGUUUUUGCAAUAAAUACAUUUGAUUGACUAAUUGAUAUUUUUUUCUAUGUUUGUGAAUUUGAUUGGGCUAGUAAUGGCGUGACUCCUUUCUACACCUGACAAUAUGUCAGAGUACUUGAAGACUCAUAUGAGCUUAUAUUAGGAUGUUUCUAUAACCUGUAUUCUAGGUAAAAUGACAGCUUGGUUUAGGAUCACUGUAGUUGGCUUAUGCUUUAAAAUAAUAUGAAGUUGCUAAGUAUUUAAAGAAUUACAGAAAUACAAAACAUCAAACAUAUAUAACAGGCAUUUACUGGAAAGUUUUACAUGCAAAGUGACUAAAACGUAUUAUUAUUGGGCUGUUUCUUGUUUAUAUCUGCAGGACAUCCAAUGAUUAUUACUAUCAAUCAUUUCAUUGGUUGCCUAUCUUGCUAGAUACUCUGGUAGGUUAGGUUAAUCUCUAUCAUAUAGUUGAUGUAUGUUUUUGAAAUCUACUUGAUAAACCAAAUAUCUCCGAAGUUCAUAACAUUAUCCCAGGCCUACGGAAAGUGCAUUGUAAUGGGAAAAUACUUAGACUACAUCUGGUUCAGGUGGUAACGUCUUUGUCAAACAUUUUCUCUUCUAAGAUGGUGCAAUAUUACUCAAGUAUAAAACAUGUAGGCAUCUGUCAUAAUCUCCAACAACAUUAAAUCUACAACUGGAAGAGGAGCUUGCCAUAUUAUCCCAGGCGAUAUGCAAGCAAGUUGUGCAAAAAUUGCAAAUAAGCAUAUCUAGAGGUCUUAAAUAUGAAAAAAACAGGUGUCUGCGCUGAUGGGUGUAUAUGAAAAUACAAUAUACAGGUCUUGUAAAUCAAUUUACUCCACCCCACUGCUCUCUAUUCCUUUAGUGAUAGAUCAUGAGCAGAUGUUCUGUCUGGACUCAUUUACUGAUUAAGUGAUUUUGAUGAUUAGUUUUGUGUCUUCUUGACCAAGUUUUUGACACCUGUGCUGAGUUUCUUUCUGUCUUAGCUUGUGUAAGUCCUGUGAACCAAUACUCAUCUUAAAAAAAAAAGGCACUAAUAUACUGCACAUGCUGCUAAAACACAUUUUUUUUCUUGCUUUCUAUUUUAUUUUUUUCUCGGCAUGUCUUACAAAAAAGAAGGCUGGACUUUCUGUUGAGCUGAAUUCAUUGCAUUACUGUGAAAACAUCUAACUACAGCUUUUAAUUAGAAUUAGUGGGAAUUGUAGAGUCCAGAUAUGUAGUAGAAAUAGGUAAAUGGUGAUAUAAUGUUUAUUUCGAACUCCUUGGUCUUGCAAGGGAAAGACGUAUGGAUGUAUAGAUCAUACAGAUGUUUAAGGGACUAGAGCUGUUAUGAGCUUAUAAUAAAAAAAUAUUGUAAAAUGAGGGAUUAAGGUAUCGUGGAGGGAGUUGAAGAUGUUUGUGCAGUUAACUGACAAUCACACAAUAUUAUAUUGAAUUUAUGCCACUGAAAGCAUAUUAGCAAAUACAGUAAUAAGCAUCUUCCUGGUAUAUGUACAAAUCAGUCAUUAUUAAAAAAAAAAUUCUAUCUGUAUUCUCUAGCAGAAAAUAAUUUACUAGUUCAUAAUUGCCUUUUUUAUUAUUUGACACAAACCAACUUAAGCCACCAGGAAUUUUAUAGUUGCUUUGAUGAGCCCAAUAGGUAUAUGGACCAAUGUUUUAUUGGACAGAUCUUGGCAGAGUCAUUUUAAGCAAUGCAUUGAUUCUUCACUGGAGUCUCACUUUCUUUACAACAGAAUUAAAUCAUUGCACAUUAAAAAAAUAAUUUUUGGUCUAGUACACAUGAAAAUUUCACUCUGGCCCUUGGAGACUGACAUCUGUAUUCAGCUGAUAAAGAUUUAUCUACCAUGGUUGAGUGAACAUUAUGGACAAUAUAAAAAUGGACUCUGUGGAGUUUUUGGCCUGUAAAACACAGAGCAAUGUGAGCAACGAAGAUUCAUUGGGUUCAUGUAUUUGGGGAAUAGUAGAUUUAAACUUUUCAAUGUCACAAUGCAGUAUUUAGCCUCACUGGCAUUGAACUGGUUAACUCAGCCUCAUGUCUAAUUAGCAGAAGUUGCAAUUGGAUGUAAACCGAACUCUCUGUGCCUUGCCCAAUCAGCGAAAAUCCAGAAUGUUAUAAGUGAUCUCAUGGAUGGAAUCCUUAAAUAAAAUAAAAAAUAAAAAAAAACUUACAGUGAAAAGUCUGCACUUGCAACUUUUUUUCAGCACAUGUACAUAAUUCUAUAAAUAUAUAUAUAUAUAAUAUAUACAUAUAUGAAGAUAUAUGAAUAUAUUUGGUAAUGCCAAA
rnacentral:lncRNA from 1 species